GACAGAGGGUGCAAACGUUGUUCGGAAUUACUGGGCGUAAAGCGCGUGUAGGCUGCUCAGAAAGUCGGAUGUGAAAGCCCUGGGCUCAACCUAGGAAGUGCAUUCGAAACUUCUGAGCUGGAGUUCUGGAGAGGAAGGCGGAAUUCUCGGUGUAGAGGUGAAAUUCGUAGAUAUCGAGAGGAACACCGGUGGCGAAGGCGGCAUCCUGGACCGGCAUUGACGCUGAAUAGCGAAAGCCAGGGGAGCAAACGGG
rnacentral:rRNA from 1 species